AGCAUAAAUUGUAGCCCGAGCAUGUGCACAGCGCAGUGUGUGUGUGUGACCGUGUGUGUGAACUGCUCAUCCCUUGCAUACCUGCUCCUUCCCUCUUCCUCUGGAUAUGUAUACAUAUAUGAUGUGUUUAUAUAUGUAUAUGCGCAUUCUCAGCUUUUCGUAAAACAAAAAAAAAAAAAAAAAAAAAUUUUUUGUGGCGUGCACAACUGGAUUUUCUCAGGCUGAUUUUCUCACGGGAGAGAAUACUCCUCUUUUUUUUUGGCUUUGGUUUUUUAGCGGCUGCAACAUCCCAGCACCUGAUUUUCCCUUCCUGCAUGCGUGAAAACCUUCCUACCUGCCUACCUCUUCCCUAAAUCCCCUCCACCCCACCCCCAGAACAUCUCCCCUUGCAAUCCCACUCUCCAGCCCCCAAGAAAAGGAGCCUCAGCUGGGGCAGAGAGCUUCGACAGGACCCCCUGUUCACCCUUGGAUGGAGAAUAGCAAGAACUGAUGGAACAGAAUGGGAAAAACCAGGAUAUACAUUUCUGUUUUCUCCGCUAGAGCGAGAAUGCGAGGAAAAAGAACGAAGCUAAAGAUAAUUCGCUGCUUAAUGUCAGUAGUUUUGAAGAAAUAGACCGUGCUUCUGGGUAAUUGUUGUAUGAGAUCUGAUGCUUGUGGCUGUAACUGAUGUGUUUUGGAAUAUUAUUAUUUUCCUAAAUACAUGUACAUCUCUGUAACGUAUGCAUUUAUUUCAACUGUCAUCGUCAGCUUCAACUCAUUUUAUGUGAUGUGAUUUUAACCGUACUUGUUUUUACUUGCCGUAUAGGUGUGCGUAUGCUGAGAGAGAGUGAGAGAAAUAAAAAGACAGAGAGAGAGGUGGGGGGAGAGAGGGAGAGAACAGACUGUCAUAGGGAAGUGCUAGCUUUACAUUGUGAUGCUGGCAGCCGUCUCAUCAUGGCGGUGGACGUGCUGAAUAGAUGAGGGGGAGAGCAGUGCAUAGCUUUGCAUCUUCGCACAUCCCUCACACACAGCUUUGCUGAUCCUCUUUGUUUGGCCGAGAGAGGGAAAAGGUCUGCUGGAAUGAAACAGAAGGCAGGUGCCAGGGCUUCUAGCAGAAUGGGUACAACAAAAGGCCGAUGGAAGAGGGGGAAUUAUGUGAUUUAAAACCCGCACGCACAAGGAGAACCCUGGGAAAGAUGUGCGAUAGUGUGUUUGUAAGUGUUUGAGAGUGAGUGUGUGUGAUUGUGCAAGAUUAGGACUUCUUGUUUGGACUGCACUAACACCACCGAAGCCCACAUCAGAUGCAGAAGGAGGAGGACAGGUGAGAAGAGAGGGAUUUUAGAUGAACACAGAAACACGGUAUUGUACUGAAGGACAAGAACAGGAUGUGCAGACUGCAUAGGGACCAAAUACAUACAGCGAGAGAACCGGCAGGGAAGCUGAAGUGCAUGAUUGAACCGUUAGCCGUGAGAACAGACCAGAUUGCAAGGAUGAAGAGGAACGGAGAGAGUAUGUAGGAAAAGACAAAGUGGACGACAUUUGGAAACUUGGGUUUUUGCUCUUUGUGUUCACAGUGGACCUUGAUUUAAUUUCAAUACAAUUAAGGCACGCGGUGAAUGCCAAGAGAGAAGCCAAAAGCAGCACUCACCUGAGCAACCGAUCGAUGGGACAAUGUCAUGUUGAGUACGGUCACUACAACUGUUGUUUCAUAUUAGACAUCAUAUGUGCACAAUAAAAUAAUACACUACACUUGCCAACCCCUAUUUGAUUCAGAUCGAUAUCAUGCAACCAUUCAAACACUUAAGUAGACCAUUGAAUAUUCAUUAAACAAAAAUACACAAACACAGGGCCUAAUAUGCAUAUAAUGAUUUACGAAAGGCAUGGAUGUAUCUCUUCCAAACCAUGAGAUUAUAUUUAGUGGCAACGCUCUGCAAAAAGCUCAGAGGCAAAAACUGCAAAGGUUGCGUUAUGACCUACAUUUCACAACACAAGCCAUCAUUGCAAGCAAUGGAGUGUCAUAUGCAAACGCAGGGUAGUGAGUAUGGGAUUAAGGGCUUUAAAUAUUACCCAUAAAAUCUGUGCAGAUUUUUAAAAUUAUAAUAUUUCAUAAUUCUGUCAUCUCUGACAGCAUUGUCCAAAUCUGUGACACAGUGAAUUUAGAGUAAGAUCAGGGGCCCGUUGCAACAAACCCCUUAAGUUAAAUAAUCUUUAGUAGUGUAUUAUUGAGGUUUGUUACAACCUGCUACUGCAAAUUUUAAACAGGAGAACAGCACAAACACCAACGUCUUAUGUUUCAGCCAUUCAAAUCAUGUUCCUUCAAACUUGCAAUAAUAAAUCACCUAUCUGCUCUAGGCACGUGGCGCAGCUGUUUAGAGGGGUCAAAGUUUACGUAUUUAUUUAUGACUAAUGAUGAAUUUUACUCACAAAAGAAAGGCAAACAGGGUCUACCCUCAGGCUGGAUUUCCGUCGACGGAACACACAACUGUGAAGACAAUAAAAGCAAAUAUUAAUCACUCUGACAGACAUUCAUACUGCAUAUGACGCUGCUGGUGUUGCAUUUUAAAGCUUAUAUUCUUUUACACAGAGUAUUUUUUGGUCGUGCAACUUACAAACCUUUGAAACAUAUUUAUUUUUUCCACACUUGUCCACACUUUUCUACAUUCGUCCUUAUGACGAUUUAAAAUGUAGGCGACCACUCCGAAAGAUAAUUCACAACAUUCAAAACACUCAUUAAAUAACUGAGGAACGUUACCUUGGACUUUAACCAUGCUGAGGUUACGUGUUACAUUCUUGAAUUCAACGAACCUAUAACGACCAC
ensembl:lncRNA